rnacentral:rRNA from 1 species
UACGAAGGUCCCAAGCGUUAUCCGGAUUUAUUGGGUUUAAAGGGUGCGUAGGCGGCUUAUUAAGUCAGUGGUGAAAGCCCCAAGCUUAACUUGGGAAUUGCCAUUGAUACUGAUGAGCUUGAGUAGAUUUGAGGCGGGCGGAAUGUGUCGUGUAGCGGUGAAAUGCUUAGAUAUGACACAGAACACCGAUUGCGUAGGCAGCUCGCUAAACUCUUACUGACGCUGAGGCACGAAAGCAUGGGGGAUCAAAACAGG